GAUGAACGCUGGCGGCGUGCUUAACACAUGCAAGUCGAACGAAGCAUUUAGGACAGAUUACUUCGGUUUGAAGUUCUUUAUGACUGAGUGGCGGACGGGUGAGUAACGCGUGGGUAACCUGCCUUGUACUGGGGGAUAGCAGCUGGAAACGGCUGGUAAUACCGCAUAAGCGCACAAUGUUGCAUGACAUGGUGUGAAAAACUCCGGGGGUAUAAGAUGGACCCGCGUCUGAUUAGCUAGUUGGUGAGAUAACAGCCCACCAAGGCGACGAUCAGUAGCCGACCGAGACGGGUGCCCGGCCCAUUGGGAACUGGACCACGGCCCAUACUCCUACGGGGGGAAGCAGUGGGGAAUAUUGAAAAAUGGGGGAAACCCUGAGCCCGCGACGCCGGGUGGGUGAAGAAGUAAUUCGUUAGUUAAACCUCUAUCAGCAGGGAAGAUAGUGGCGGUCCCUGAAGAAAAAGCCCCGGCUAAAUGCGU
rnacentral:rRNA from 1 species